GGCCUUGCUCUUAUGUCAUCUGACUAAAGGUUUCAUAGACCAAAAUAACCAUCCAACCUGUUGGAAUACUGAAACAAUUGCUGCCUGCUUUCCACACACUACAUAAAAUAUGUGGAUAUCCUAAAUUCUACAAAAAAAGAUUUGUAAGCAAAUCAAGCAAUACUGGGACUCCCUCUUCUCCAGAAGAGACAUCCUGGCCUCCAUGCAGAGGAAUGUGUGGAUAGACAUAUAUUUAAGGAAGACACUAAACCAGAAAAUACUACAUUACACCCUCUUAAAAGACUUCUAAGAUUGUUGUCAUGCCUACCACAGACAUUCAGAUGAUGUGUAUUCUUGAUUGUGAUUUCAUGUUUGGAGCUGAUGAAGGAGUUUGAAGUCUCCAGAGCAGCAAGGAGAGUGGGGAGUAGAACUCAUCAUCUUUAAGUCACUCAUCACC
rnacentral:lncRNA from 1 species